AGUUAACGUUGGCGGCGUGCCUAACACAUGCAAGUCGAACGCGUCCUAAGGGCAACUUUAGGAUGAGUGGCGAACGGGUGAGUAUCACGUGGGUAAUCUUCCUUUAAGUGGGGAAUAAGCUCUCGAAAGGGAGUCUAAUACCGCAUGACAUUCCGGGACACAAGUCCCGUAAUCAAAGCCGCAAGGCGCUUGAAGAUGAGCCUGCGUCCUAUUAGCUAGUUGGUGGGGUAACGGCCUACCAAGGCUCAGAUGGGUAGCCGGCCUGAGAGGACGACCAGCCACACUGGGACUGAGACACGGCCCAGACUCCUACGGGAGGCAGCAGUGGGGAAUAUUGGACAAUGGGGGCAACCCUGAUCCAGCGACGCCGCGUGUGUGAAGAAGGCCUGCGGGUUGUAAGCACUUUUAGUGGGAUGAAAAGCCAAGGGCUAAUACCCUUUGGUCUUGACCUAACCCAAAGAAAAGCACCGGCUAACUCUGUGCCAGCAGCCGCGGUAAGAGUCACGUCG
rnacentral:rRNA from 1 species